GGGGAAUAUUGGACAAUGGGGGCAACCCUGAUCCAGCCAUGCCGCGUGAAUGAUGAAGGCCUUCGGGUUGUAAAGUUCUUUUAGCGGGGAAAAUAAUGAUGGUACCCGCAGAAAAAGCACCGGCUAACUUCGUGCCAGCAGCCGCGGUAAUACGAAGGGUGCUAGCGUUGCUCGGAAUUACUGGGCGUAAAGGGUUUGUAGGCGGUCUUUUAAGCUAGUGGUGAAAGCCCAGGGCUCAACCCUGGAAUUGCCAUUAGAACUGGAAGGCUAGAGAGUGUUAGAGGUAAGUGGAAUUCCUAGUGUAGGAGUGAAAUCCGUAGAGAUUAGGAGGAAUAUCGAUGGCGAAGGCAGCUUACUGGGACAUUUCUGACGCUGAAAAACGAAAGCGUGGGUAGCAAAC
rnacentral:rRNA from 1 species